CAGCCGUAAACUAUGCGCGUUAGGUGUACUGGUGACCACGAGUCACCGGGGUGCCGAAGGGAAACCGUGAAACGUGCCGCCUGGGAAGUACGGUCGCAAGGCUGAAACUUAAAGGAAUUGGCGGGGGGAGCACCACAACAGGUGGGAGCCUGCGGUUUAAUUGGACUCAACGCCGGAAAUCUCACCGGAUAGGACAGACAUAUGAUAGUCGGGCUGAAGACUCUACUUGAUGAUCUGAGAGGAGGUGCAUGGCGUCAGUGACU
rnacentral:rRNA from 1 species